CCUACGGGUGGCAGCAGUGGGGGAUAUUGCACAAUGGGGGAAACCCUGAUGCAGCGACGCCGCGUGGGUGAAGAAGUAUUUCGGUAUGUAAAGCCCUAUCAGCAGGGAAGAAAGAAGACGGUACCUGACUAAGAAGCCCCGGCUAACUACGUGCCAGCAGCCGCGGUAAUACGUAGGGGGCGAGCGUUAUCCGGAUUCACUGGGUGUAAAGGGAGCGUGGACGGCCGUGCAAGCCAGGAGUGAAAGCCCGGGGCCCAACCCCGGGACUGCUCUUGGAACUGUGCGGCUGGAGUGCGGGAGGGGCAGGCGGAAUUCCUGGUGUAGCGGUGAAAUGCGUAGAUAUCAGGAGGAACACCGGCGGCGAAGGCGGCCUGCUGGACCGCGACUGACGUUGAGGCUCGAAAGCGUGGGGAGCGAACAGGAUUAGAUACCCCAGUAGUC
rnacentral:rRNA from 1 species